UCCCGGCCGGGCGCAGGGAGUCCACGGCUCGCAAAGUUUCUCGUGCCCUUCUCGCAUGGAAACACAUGUUUGUGGAAUUAAGUAGUGGUUUCCUUUCGUGUGCGCCCCCCGGUUGCCGGCUCGCGUGUGUAGGCCCGGAGCUAGCACGGUUUGGAAGACCGAGUGCGGAGAAAUAGUAAACAAGCCGGCCUGUGAGCAUCGCGACAAGAUGUAUGCAGCUUUGUUUGGGAUAAUGGAUUUGACCAGAUCAAAACAGCUGGGAGGAGAUGGUGGAGGAGAAGCUGGGCGCUGGCGCUGAGUUAAAGUCACUGCAGAUCUGGUCCACAAGGCACUGGUGAGGCCGAGGUGGAGGGCAGAACCAGGGUUUUCCUUCCACACCAAGGCGAAUGUGCCUUUUUCUGUCCACUUUCUGGGCAGUUUGUUGCAUAAAUUAGGUCGUGUGUCUCAGCCCUGCAGUAGUGUAGCCAGCUGUUGUGGCUUGCGCAGGGGAGCUUUGAGCCUCUGCCCACCCCCCCCCCCUUCUCACAAAUGUUGAUAAAACUUCUGAAAGUGACAGAUCCACCCAGCCAUCAUUUCCACAAAAGUUCCAGAUCGAAAAUCUUGUUUUAGAGGAUUUGUUUUUGUUUUGAAGUUUUCAGCAACUUCUGGAAUCCCUUUAUAGAGAUAUGAAGGUAUCAUUUUCUUAGAUUUCAUCACUGCUUAGUAUUUUGUAAAUAAAAAACUAUGGCUCCAUAGACUUUAUUCUGCUUAAGAAAUAAAUGCAUGCAUUUAAUACUAAAAGACCUUAUCAAAGUAAGAAAUAUUCUCAAACUUUCUGAAACUUUGUCAUUUGAAACAGUUAACUAUAUUUGAGGUGAUUCAAGAGUUUGAUAUUCCUUUGCUCACAUAUGGCUUUUUUUUUAAAACAGUUCAUGCUGUUUUUCUUCUAUUUUUAUAUUUUGAACUAAAGUUCAAAGACUUUUUUCUAACCAAAUGUCAUUUGUGAUGUCAAGGUACACAGUUUUACAUAACUACUGUGAACAAUGAAAUGCAACUUCAGUUGUGCAAGUAAUAGUGAUGUUUAAGGCUUACUAAAUAUCCAAACAUUGUAAAUUCUAUCUGUAAUAUUCAGAAGCUGAUUAAGGAUCAAAAUUUAGAGCUGUCUUUCAAAAAAAAAAAACCAACAACUGAGCCACCAUGAAAUUUAAAAUUAGCCCAGGAUUACAGUUUGCAAAGAGAAAUGUCUCCACCUCCAAGAUGAGCAAAUGUCAGCAAAAUGAAAGGAAGAAAAAAGAAAAGAUGUUCUUGUUUUGACACAAGUGAGAAAAGCUUAGUGUCUUUCAUUUUUAACCUCAUUUCAAAUUUAUCUCUCCACCACCUUGGUAUUUCUGCAUGGAGAUAAUUGGCCUUCUUCAAACCCCAAGGCAACUGGGUACCCACAGCUCACACUUCGUAUGAGAAAGCAUUGUACUCAUAAAUUGGUGUAAUUUUAAUCUUGCACAGGAUAUGUGGUUUGUUUUCCUUGAAAGGUAAUAUAGGAAGUUGAAAAAUAUGACACAAAUCUACUCUUGAUAGGAUAAAGACAGAAACCUGUUGAAAUCUGGAGAAAUUUGCACUGAGAUUCACACCUACAGUUAAUAGAAGGAAAGGCUUCCCAGGAAAAAUAAUGCAAUGGUGACUGUAUUUCCCCGGUUUUCAGCAUGCAAGACCAAGUAUUUAGGAAUUCCCAUAUCACUGAGAUUUCACCAGCACAACCAGGAAAGUGGGCUUAUUUGCAUUAGCAGUUUAGCAUGUGUAUAUGUACAAUCAUCAAAAGGCCCCUGCUUAAUAUUUGAAAAACUAGGAUGUAAAUGACUGUCUUAUUUUGACACAAUUUGCCUUAACUUCAUUUCCUGUUGCUUCAGUCAUUUAAUUUUUAGGGUUUCUGUAUCAGAGUGACUACCAUCUAUUAGUCCACUUGGUGAUAGAGGGCAGGAUCCUGUUGUAUUGAAGUUAAUAAAGCAGAACCACAAGCCUAAUUAUUGAGGAGAUAAGGCAUGCUGACAAGUGUUCAUCUACAGGUCUACACCGUGCACCUACACAUUUAGGAAUGGGUUCUUGGGGACACAAUGGGGACAGAGAAAGAGGUAGGUAGAGGUGGUUUUAUCUUAGUAAAACUUGACAACUUCUCCUUCUUAGAUGGGGCAGUAAACUGUGUGUCUAUAGGAGAAAGGAAGUGGCUAAUCAUUAGUCAAAUGAGAUCAUGGGAAGAGCUGCUUUAAUUAAACAACUAGAAAAUAGCUGAUUUGU